UACCUUGUAGUAUAUACCUAAUAUUACCGUAAACUGCAACUUUACUAAAGCACAUAUGCCAAGGUGU
rnacentral:tRNA from 1 species